GACGAACGCUGGCGGCGUGCUUAACACAUGCAAGUCGAACGGACAGGCGAGGCUUUUGUGGGGUGCUCGUGAGGCGAACGGGUGAGUGACACGUGAGUAACAUGCACUUGACUUUGGGAUAACUUCAGGAAACUGGGGCUAAUACCGGAUAGAACCUGCUGCAGCAUGGGGGGGGAUGGAGAGAUUCGGCCGUUGGGGAUGGUCUCGCGGCUUAUCAGCUUGUUGGGGGGGUUGUGGCUUACCAAGGCUAUGACGGGUAGCCUGCAUGGGAGGUUGAACGGCCACAUGGGUACUGAGAGAGGCACCAGACGCCUAUGGGAGGCAGUAGGCGAGAACAUGGCACAACGGGCGGAAGCCUGAGGAAGCAAUGUUGCGUGCGGGAUGCCGUGUUUUGGGUGGUAAACAGCUGUGUCCUGUGCCGAAGCGUUCGUGACGGUAACGGGUAAAGAAGCAACGGCUAACUACGUG
rnacentral:rRNA from 1 species